rnacentral:tRNA from 1 species
GGGCCUGUAGCUCAGUUGGGAGAGCGCUUCGUUCGCAAUGAAGAGGUCGGGAGUUCAACUCUCCCCAGGUCCACCA